CCCACCCCAUCCCAUCCCAUCCCACCCCAUCCCAUUCCAUCCCUUCACAGGAGGCGCCCAGGGCAGCGCCUGGGAAACACAGCCAGUGGUAUCCGUGGCAUUAAGAAGCACAGGUGGUUUGGGGCCAUCCGAUGGAAGCGACUUGCGCUGCGGCAGAUGGAGGCACCCACUAUGCAGCUACUGAAAGAGGGCCCUCCCUAUGCCAACUUCAAGAGGUUCUCGGUCGAUUCGACGCCGGCAGAGGAUGAGCUUUCAGGAUGGGAUGAGGAGUUCUGAUGGCAAUGGGAUGAUGCUGGGGCCCCCUCUGGAAGGGCAAUAAAGUGACGGGGCAAGAAGGAGGCAGGA